rnacentral:tRNA from 1 species
AGGUUUAUGUUGGGCUAAGAGAGUUUUGAAAACUCUUUUGAAGUGUUCGAUUCACUUGUAACUUU